GGGGGUUUGAGAUUGAUUUGAUUAAUAAACUACUAAAAGCAAUUAAAAUAAGCGAAUAAUAAAAUAAAAGAGAAAUAAAUAAUAAGAAAGCUCUAGUUGAAGUAUUGGAUCCACUUUAGUCAUUGGGAUUGAUCACAGACACUUUGUUCUUUUGGGUUGAUUCAAUAGAUUAGUUAUGGGGAUGGAAGACGCUUCUCACCACCAUUAUCUCUCCUUAUGAUUAAACCAAUUAGGGAACGUCCUCUAAUUAAUUACUAAUUAACAAAUUGCCAAGGAACGUCCUUGGGUCUUAGGCAUCAAAACAAUUGUCAAUUGCAUUAAGAAAUAGAGAGAUCCAAUCCUAGCUACCCAAACGUAUGGAGAUAACGCUAGAUCAAACAAUUUCCUUGGGUUUUAUCCCAAUUGUUCUCAUGUAAAAAUAACCCAAGCAAUUACGGACUUAAAUUAUUCAAACUAACAAAUAAUUAUUUUGCAAUAAAAAAUCAACGUAGAUUUCAAUAACAAAAUAAUAUGAGAAUUAAAUAUGAAAUUGCAUGAAUAUUGAAUUUCCAAAAUUAAACAAUAUUUGAUCAAGUCUCACAACCCAUUAAACAACUAAAGCUUCAACCAAUAUUCAACUAGAUGAAAGAAAUCAGCCACUCAUUGGCUGAAUUAAAAACAGAAAAAUAAAAUAAAAAAUAAAAUAAAAAAAGGAAAAAGAAAGAACCGAAGGAGCUGGCUUGCGAAAAUUGCCGAGAGGAGGAAUUCUCCGUUUCUUCGGCCACUGAAGGCUCUAUUUAUAAGUUCAGAGGAGCGCCCUAUUUUGGAAGAUUGUUGGCCACGUGCGCGAGAUGGCGUUGAAGCGGGCGAAGAGAAUGGGCUGUGUGCAGGAGUUACUGUCCCAUGUGCGCGAGUAAGGGCCAUGUGCUUGGCUUGGGCGUUGCUUGGUGAAGUGGAUGGUGGAGUGAAUUUGGCAGGGCCCAUGUGCAAGUGGGAAUGGUCAACGUGAAGAGACAUGCGGGAGUUGAUCCAUUUGGGCGUGAAUGUGUGGGCGCGGGCCCAUGUGCGAGUGACCAUGUGCUUGAGUGGAGAAGUGCUUUGGUCCAUUUGCAAGGUGAGCUUGCAUGGGCUGGCGGGUCCACGCGAGGAGAGCUGCGCUGGUCCUUUGCGGAUUGGGCCGUGGCGUGAGCGUCCCGUGUGAAGUGAAUGGAGAAGGCGGGCCGUGCAGAGCGCGGGCCUGCGCGGGAGCUUGGUCCAUGAUUGUGUUGUCCAUGUGCGAAAAUGGCGGGAAUGGGCUGUCCAAGUGCUUAUUUUGAAUCCAACUUGGCAGGCUCGCUCUUUUUUACUCCAAAUAAGGCAGUUUUAGGGGGAUUUUCUCCAAAAUGUCCUUUUACACUAUUUUCUGCAAAAUAAUAUUAAAAGCAAUAAAUUAAGCAGAAAUCAUGUAAAUAUUUAUCAAUAAUAUUAGUAUAAAUUGGACUAAAUUAUGCUCUAUCAAAUACCCCCACACUUAGCCUUUUGCUUGUCCUCAAGCAAAUAAACAUAUUAAAUAGGCUUUCUUUGCUCUAGAUCCUUAUUUCCACUUAAGCUCUUACUCAAGACACCUAUUUUGAAGCAUUGCAGUGAAGAAUAUAUGCAUGAAAAUUACUCGCCUUCUUUCCUUGUUUCCCUUUACUCACCAUGGCUAGGAUUUGGUUUCCUUAAGAGAGACCAUACAUGCACAUUUUUGUUAAAGACUUUUUCUAGCUUUCAGAGUGACUUGCCCUUACCUUGAAGUACUUUAUUCAGGCUUUUGCACUUUAGAUCUUGGAAAUGUCACCAACCUAUUUUUGAUUGAAGGUUUAUAUUUUUCAGUUGAUCACCUGUCCAAGUGGCUACUAGCUUUGUUCAUAGUCUUUUGACCAUUGGAACAAUUUUUAAUUUGUGCUUUUGAGGUCUUUGCCUUUACUGAAUUUUCUUUCUCUCAAUGAUUUGGGCAAAUCAACACCAAUUGCUACAUCAAGUCACAUUAAGUUCAUUCACACAAUUUUCAAUUUAUUCUCAUCAAUUGAGGGUCAUCAAUAUAUUUUUCACCAUGGCAAACUCAAAGAUUCGAUUCAAAAGGCAAUUCUCAAAUAUGAAUAUAACUCACUGCAAUUGAUUCAACAUAAGUUUAAAGAGUCAUAACAUCAAUGGGGUCAUGGAAAGAAAAGCUCAUCCAACAUAGUCUAUAUGAUAAGUAAAGCAUCUCAAAAAAAACAGAAACAAAAAUAAUAAAAAAAAAACUGUGGCUAUUUGUGUGUUAUUGAAAGCAAAAAAAUGAAAAAUUUCAACUAAUGCAAGCAAACUAAAAAUCAAAGCAAAAAUAAACUCAAAAAGUAAAAAUUCAGAAAUAUGCACCCCCACACCUAAAUCAUGCAUUGUCCUCAAUGUAUAGGAAAUAUUAAAAUGCAAAAGAAACUGAGUACUCCCCUGGGUGUGGUGUGCAUGGUGCGAUCCACUUGAUCAAGGCUCAAGUAAUUGGAGAAGGGAAGAGAGUCCCAACUGUAUUGAGCAAAAAGUGUAGCACUCUUUUUGAUUUGGUCAUAGCCCAUCCUUCUUUUUCCAUGUACUCAUGAAGUAACAUGAUUAGCUUCUCCUCUUUCAGAUGAGGUGUGCCUCUAGCCCUUAUGUUUGCAUUUUUGAGCACUUCCAACUUCAAUUGAUAUUUCUCCAUGGGUGGCUGCAAUUUGGCAUUAAGUUCAGGCAAAACAAAUUCUACCUUAUCUGGAGGUUUGGGCAGGCAUUGAUCUGCAUGCUCCUUUGGUUUGGGCCAUUGGACUACCAUUUGUUCCUCCUGGGCAUGGACUAUUUGCAUUGGAAGGAUGAAAGGAGUUUCAGUUUCCUCCUUCUGCAUAGGACCUAACUGAGGUGGAAGACUGAUUUGUGUUGGAAGCUGAAAGGACGCGCCUGAGAGGAUUUCAGGUACUCCUUCUUGCGCAAGAUUGAUCUGCAAUGGAAGAAUGAAAGGAGUUUCAUGCGAUGGAAGCUGAAGAGGUGCAACUAGAAGAGUUGCAGGACUGUCCUGCGGUCCAAGCUGAGGUGGUUCAGUUGGAGUUCCUUCUGACUGCGCAAGAUUGAUCUGAAGAGGUGUGAUUGGCUCUCCUUUGUUUUGUGCGUGUUCGCAGUCCACCUGUUGGAUGUAACAGUUAGUUUCUUUCAGUUCUGGCUCUUUUUGGCUCUCUUCCCUGCAAGGAUCAUUGUUUAGUAUAUCAUCAUGAUUUGUAUAAAAAAUAUCUUUGCUCAAAUAAUCAAUGAUAUCUAAAUCAACAACAGGUUCUGUUUGAUCAGUUUGUUUGGGCAAACAAUUUUCUGGCUGUGUUUUUUCAGCAACUUGUACUUGCCAACUUUCAUCAUCAUCCCAUACAUCUUGAAGCUCUUCCUCUCUUCUUAACAUGGUUGCAUUCAAUGAGUUGUUCAAUUGAUCCUGUUGCUGUUGGAUACUCUGCAAAGUCUUCAUAAUCUCAUCAAGGUUGGAACUUUGAGGUUCUGGUUGGGCUUGAUAUCCUUGAUAAUCCUGGUAGUUGUUAGCCUCUGCAUAACUGAAGUCUGGAUAGUCUCUCCAACCUGGAUUGUAUGUGUUAUAGUAUGGAUCAUGUCUUGGCUGUUCAUAGAAUCCUUCAAAUGCAUGUACUUGUUGGUCCCUUGCAUAGCCAUAAUUUGGAUGGUCUCCCCAAUGUGGAUUGUAUGUGUUAUGGUAGGGAUCAUGUCUUGGCUGUCCAUAGGGUCCUUCAAAUGCAAGUGCUUGUUGGGCCAUUUGAUCCACUUCGUGUUGGAAACGUUGCAAAGCCUUUAAUUUCUCAUAAAGAUCAGUAUUGAAACCUUGAGGUAUUGGUUGGGCUUGUUCAGCUUGGCCUAUAACAAAAAUUCUCACAGCAGAGAUUAGUUUAGAAAGUUGAGAAUAGUAAACAGAUGUAUUUACCUUAGCCAUGAUUCAGAUCUGCGAUGGUGACCGUGCCUUUGGUGAAUUUUUUUUUUAUUUGAUCCUAAAAGAAAAACAAAUAAGUUAGAUCAACUCCCUAGCAACGGCGCCAAUUUUUGACUCGCGGUUGUCGAAGCUGGUCGAAAAUAACCUUUCUAGUUAUCAACAAUUUACAACUGCAGAUAGUGGUGAAAGGAUCGAAUCCACAGGGAAUUGAAAACUCACCUAUUUUCCUUAUCAAAACCAAUAAAAUAAAUUAAAACAAGAAUAAAUUGAAAAAAGAAUAAAGCUGAAAAUGAGAUAAACUGAAAUGAGAUAAAACUGACAACGGAAUAAAAAUAAAUUGCAGUAAAGUAAAAUGGGGGGUUUGAGAUUGAUUUGAUUAAUAAACUACUAAAAACAAUUAAAAUAAGCAAAUAAUAAAAUAAAAGAGAAAUAAAUAAUAAGAAAACUCUAGUUGAAGUAUUGGAUCCACUUUAGUCAUUGGGAUUGAUCACAGACACUUUGUUCUUUUGGGUUGAUUCAAUAGAUUAGUUAUGGGGAUGGAAGACGCUUCUCACCAACAUUAUCUCUCCUUAUGAUUAAACCAAUUAGGGAAUGUCCUCUAAUUAAUUACUAAUUAACAAAUUGUCAAGGAACGUUCUUGGACCUUAGGCAUCAAAACAAUUGUCAAUUGCAUUAAGAAAUAGAGAGAUCCAAUCCUAGCUACCCAAACGUAUGGAGAUAAC
rnacentral:lncRNA from 1 species